rnacentral:ncRNA from 1 species
CUCUAAUAUCAAGCUAGAUUAUAUAUUUUAAGGAAUAUAUACAAUUGCAGUAUUAGAUAUGUAAAGGAAGUUUACUCCUUCUUAAAAGUAAAGUUUUAAGUAAAUAUGGAAAAGAAAACAUUUGUAUUAGUAGGUAAUUACUGAAUAUACAGAUGUUUU